AUAUGCAUUCGUUGAACCUUCCUACCAGCUGUUUGGCAUAGGAUUUCUGAACGCUGCAUUGGUUCAUCUCUAAGAACUUACUUUUUCCAGUGUCUCCAAUAUGAUUGUACUGAAAAUGUUUUCAACUUAAAACAUUUCUAUUCCAGAAGUAAACUAGGUCAUGUGAACAAGUACUGUUUUAUGCCAACACAGCAGAGCGUGCUCCGUUCUAAAUAGUUUGUAAUGUUCUUUGACACUGUUCACUGCUCUGGAAAAAGUUGGUAAGGAAUUCUCGGAAAGCUGACCAGCGUGCCGUGGAGAGUGUUGUCUUUCUGGUGAACACUGGCAUGUUGCAUGCGUCUUGCAAUAUUUCAUGCUAUUUCUGGGUGAUGCUGCUGCUAGCUAGAUCAUUUAUGGCAGUAAUAAACACCUCUACUAGAGAGGGGGAAAUGUUUCCAAGCAACGUAACAAGUGGUAUGCGCAAACAGCUGCUGACAAUGGAUGAGAGAGAGACUGAAGAGACAAAGAUGAACUUAAAUGUUAUGCUGGUCUGAAUCUAAAUUUUUUUUGCUGAGAAGAGAUUGGAUGACUGCAAUGUACUUGGAACUCUCCAAUCUCUUUUUAAGGUGAAUUGAAAAAUAUCUUCAAGAAGGAGGAGCUGCCCAGUUUUUCUUUUCACUAAGCCUGGGGAGAAGGGGAGUUCUAACACUCAUGUAAUUAUAUUGCAUUUCAUGCCAAAGGUAAUUAUUUAACCUCUCAUCACCUGGUAUCCUUUAUCACCUGAUAUCAUGAUGGCAGUAACUUUAUUCUCACUUCCUUCUCUGGCUGCUGAUCCCAAUUCAGAGAGCUGGCAUUAAUGCUCAACUAGCAGAAAUCUUUGUCUCUUCUCGCAUACCGUCAUGCUGUUUGCUCUCUGUUCGUCUCUGAAUUUCCAACUUCCUGUUUCACAAGCUAUUUAAAAAUAAUGAAUUCUUCCUAAAACUUUAAAAACUUGUGAACUGUAAGCAGGGAAGUGAGCAAAUGUCCGUCCACCGUCUUAUGUGUGUUUGAUUUUUUUUAAUGUUUUAUUUUUUUAAAACUAAGCUUGAACCAAAGUCAAUUUCUAGCAAGCUGCUGUACUAAUGGACUAGUUUGUAUAAGUGCAGUUCAGAUGCAGAGAGGUGAUAGAUGCUACUGACAAUUUCUUUUCAUUUUUUAUUUUAUAUAAAAAUUGCUGCUUGUUUUAAUCUUUUUUGGGGGGUGGGGGUGGUCUUUUAUAUAUCCUUGGGGCAGACAAAAUCUCAACUUGAUUAUUAUCUAAUUUCCGUGGUUUGGUGUGUAAAUAGAAUGGCAAUGGCAGAUGGUUACUAAUUCAACUGUUCCCACAUCCUCCUUAGCAGUUUGGCUCAAUCUAUAUACUGUGGUGUGACUGUCUCCAUGAUUUCAGUCUCAGUUUAAAAAUAUAGGGCUAUGAAUAAUACUGUGUGUUAAGGUUUUAAGUGGCCCAUAGCAACAGCUUGGAGCAGUCAAAUGUAUGAAAGGAUGGCAGAGGAGAGACAGGUACCCACUAUGUUGGUCUCAAGGCCAUAGUGUUGACUAGUUUCUACCAAAGGAAAUAUCAAUCCCAUGGAUUUUUUAUUUUAUUUUUUUUGUCCAUUGAAAUCAGAUUUGUGUUUUUUGGCGCACACACAUCCAUACAUAUAUAUUUUAAUAGAGGAGAUGGUGAUGACUUCUGAACUGUGGCAUUUAUUUAGCUAUGAAUUUCAAACAUCAAUGAGGAAAUAAGCCCUUCAUAUUUAUGUACAAAAAAUAAAGAGAACACAGCCCUGUAAAUCGCCCCAAAACUCUCGAGGAUUAAGAGAAGCUGUUUAUUCAGUUGACUGGCUGCCUCUUCUUGGGUUCACUGUUUGCAGUUAGAGGACAUGAUGAAUCUGGAACACUAAUGUAGCUCAGAUGAUGGCCAUAAAAAUCUUGUUGUAGUAUUCACAGUAUUCACAUAUUGUUGGUGUGAGCACCUUUAAUCUAUAUUUCUCUUAGAUUCAUGCCACUGCCACACUACUAGCAGAUUUUACAGCAGGUUCUGGUGAAAGAAACUGGAAGCUAAAAACAUGCAGCUAAAAUGCUUUGGUUGAAUUGUAUUCAUCCUACUUUACAUAUUCCAUUCCUCAUAUCACUCAUACCUAAUGCAUUGAUGCUUGUUCACAGCAGCACAGAGAUACCAGGAUCUGAAUAGCUGUCACUGUUUUGUGUUGAUCUUGGCUAUAUAUUUCACAUGGCCAUAUUAACACACACACACACACACACACCCACACACACACACACACCUCUUCCCAUUCUAGAGCUGCCAGCCCCAACCUGGUGCCCUCCAGAGUACCAUUCCCAUCGGUCCUAGCUGUUCUGGAAGAAAGGCUGUUCUAGAGAGAUGGAUAAUCAGCUUCUGCAAUACACACUUCAACAGAAAAUCAGAUCCAGAUAAUUGGAGAAUCUGCCCUGGAACCUCACAGUUAUAAUACAUUUCUCUUACCACAAAGCUACAAGGAUAAUCACAAAAGUCAUGAACGUUCUGGUAUAGUGAAAAUUUUCUGGUCACUACCAAGUGCAAUUCCUGUAAUCCAAAACAAUGUGUGAUACCUGUGUCCCUAAUAUCCAGUACUAACCAUUCUUCCAUUACUGCAUUAGUUGAACAAAUUAGUCCAGCAUUCCAGUGUUCUAGAGAUUGUUGAUUUUAUUUUCAUUUUUUCAGUCAUGGGUUAUUAGGCUGUCAUUUCAUUUCACACAGUUUCAGAUCUGUUUCAUAGGCCAAAGUCUGAAACGUUUGCUUGCAAACUUGAGAGAUUUCAGUACACCUUUUAUUACCAAAAAGGAAAGGAGUAGGUUAAUCCUCAUACCUGCAGUUUCCACAGUUGCAGGUUACUUACGAAAAUGGCAGAGUUCAGUUCGUGUCCCUUUCAGAUGAGUUGGAAUGUUUCUAUUGAUUUUAGAGAAGCCAGAGUGCCAGAACCUUAUUGGGUGCAAAUACUACUUCCUUGAAAGGUGUGAAAAAUGGGGAUAUAUUGAGCAGACAAACCAUUGGCAGAUGAGUUAAAACAUCUAUUCAAGUUACCCUAAGUUGUGUGCACUUAGGGCCAGUGUGGACACUUUCUGUUGUAGGAGAGUUGUUCUUCCAGCUGAAUACAUAGCUUAUCAUACUGAUGGACAAACUCGCAAGGUUCAUAAUUUCAAAGUAAAGUUGUUCUUCCACACCUUUUUGAAUCUGCCCAUAUAUACCAAUUUGCACAUUACAUAUUCCCAUGUAUGAGGCUUACACGUACGAGUAAUGUCUGAAUGUGCCCUUACUUUGCAGUGUGUGUAGAUAUAAUAGACCGCUUCCUUUGUAAGGUUUGUGCUUAUGAAGUGUUAUAAAUGUAAACUAUGUGUGAUACUCAACUAUGCUUUACCCAGAGUAGGCCCAUUGAAAUUAAUGGACCUAAUGUAGUCGUUGUCCUUAAUUUCAGUGCGUCUACUCUGCAUAAAAAUUAGUUGAGUACCACCCUAUAUCUCUACAUUAUUUUGCCAUCUUGAGAAUGUAUAACUGCUCCAUAUAUCUGCGUCAGGGUUGGUGGAUGGGAGGUUAACCAAUAAUUCUGCAGGUCCAAGCAAGUCUUCCAGGCAGUCUAGCAUCUCAACCUUCACUUGAGUGAUAGAUUGCUAAGACUGAAGAGCAAAGGCUGAGACAACGGUUAUAUAAGGUAGGGUGGAGUCUUAUUGGCUCUUUGGGUCACCUUAUUAUGAACAUUUGUAGUGCCAGAGCAGCAGAGAUCAGCCCAACUGUUCACUCUUCCUGCAUGCUGCCCCAGUAGCACCAGCAGUAAGAUGUCUGGGCCAUGAAUUAGUUUACCUUGGAGAUAAGCAAGCAUGCCUAAUGUAGGAAUUGUCAUUAACCCAGGGCACUCAGGAGUACCAGUGCAGUGGAUUACAGCAUAUGACAGAAAUGAGAUGGAGACAGUUUCUCAUAAAAGGGGGGAUCUGAAAAGUUUUUGCUGUUUUUCCCACCUGCCACCUAAAUAUGCAUGCCACGUGAAUGUGAAUGGACAGUGGUCAUUUAAUGUCACUUCCCCUGAUGCAUAGAGUUGGAUCAGAUGUAAUACUCCCAGUAUCUUAACCCUGACUAAGGAAGGUGGGCUGCAGGAUCCCUGCGUUCAUGUUAACCAUGGCUCAGGUGAGUGCCAGCACAGACAUUAACCGUGUUUAAGGCUGACAGAAAGAGGGUAGGGAAAUUGCAGUCCUACAACCUGCUCUGCACUAAGUCUGUACCUGCUCAGAAACAUUACAAAGUUGCUUUACAAUGACAUAUUUAUGUGAGUUACCAGAACCCUGAUGCCUGAGCCUGUGUAUAAACACGGCUAGGAAAAGCUACAAACGUGAUGUUAUGAAAAUGGGUCGCCUGGGUGUCCUGUGAUCGAAAAGCAGUUGUGAAUGGUGAAUCCAUGCUAUAUUUUAAAAAUAACUCCUAAGCUUCAAUUGCCAAGGAAAAUACCUGAUUGAUUAAGUUUAGUUUUAUGUUGAUUGUCAUCUAAAACAUUUUUACUGGAUAAGUUCAGCCAAAGAUGUUAUUGAUUGAAGUUAUAAAGGAAGAACAGAAGUACUUAUUGCUGAAUUUCCGGUGCCAGAAACCAGGCUUAAGAGUCCAUUGUUGCCUUAUCUCCUUCCCUUCCCUAUUUCAGUUGUAUAUUAUGUGGGGUUAGGUUGGUAAUAUCACGCUUUAACUGUCUUUCUAAUUGCUGUUCUAAAAACCUUGGAAGAAUGUAGGCUGCCCAUUACAAGAUAAAGCCUGUAUUUUAUUUGCUACCACACUGAUGGCUUAUUUCAGUUAGUGGAUGUUGGGCUAUACUGCAGCCUAAGCAAAGACUGGCUCUGAUGCAGUGUUUGGCACCUGAGGUGGAGGGUUCAUGUGAUUUUUGCAUGGGGAUUUAUUUAUGUUCAGGAUCUAGUAGGAACUUUGUGAGACCACAUUCAAAAUGAACAUAUUGCAUCAAAUAUUACAUAGGAACUGUGAGCACUGAACAGAUAACACAUAGAUUCAUUCAUUCAUUCUUGUAAGUGAUAAGAUGUGGGAAAAUAUCACUCAAGUCUUGCUUUAUGAACAUUUUCCCCAAUUUAAAUGUAAUCUUGCACUGGUUCCACUGUGGGGCCAUACAGUUAUGCUUGGGGUUUGAGCUGCAGGGGCAGUUAGCAUCACAAGGAUGCAAAAUCCACUAACUGACUUGAUUAGUGUUUGGUAUAAUUAAAGCUUUUGCUAUGGCCUUGUUGCUUUUGGAGCCACACAAGUGUAGCAGCUAUAUUUACCAUACAAGUUCCUUUAUUAACCUUUCAGACGACACUUUUGUUACGUAGAAUUAUUUAACAAUAUCUUAUCGAUGGCUAUAUUUUUCAGUAACAUAAUUUCUUGUAAUGGAAGUGCACAUUUACGCAGAUGCAUCAUUUCAUCAUAUUCGUGCUGUUAAUGACCUUUUUAAAAAAACAACAUCCCACGUAGAAGUCUCUCUUCUGCUUUGAACAUGUAAUCCUUUCUCUCUGACAUUAGGAGUAUGUUUAUGCUCGAUCUGUAUGUGCCUACAUGCACUUUUUAGAAGAUGAAUUAUAAAAGGGUUGUAGAGGUUCAUAAAUGUAUAUAGGUAUAAACCAUUAUAGAUAAAACACUACCAAAGGAGAAUCUGGCUGGCUGAUUAUGGUUAUUCAUCUCUAACCAAAACUUCUCAGGACUCGUUAGCCAAUUUUUUUACAAAGUUACAAUCUAAUGUUUUUUAAGCAAUACACUCUUUUAAGACAUUCACCUGCAAAGUUCUUGCUCCAUGCAGUUAUUAGGCCAAGUCGAACUUGCCAGUAGGGAGCUUUCUAUUGGCUUAAGUGAUAAAGUUGGCUGAGAUCCCUGAGCUUCUUGAAUGGACUUUGAUGCCAAAGUCCAUGCCCUGUAUGAACAGCUUCAGAAAAAAAGGAAUGCACCGGGAACUAGUGCCAAUUUACCCACAGUCUUCUUACUUUUGUGAAUGUUGUGGGAUGGCGUACUGUCCAAUUCGUAAACAUUCACCCUCCCCAGUGUUGGCUUCAUGUUUGGAAGGACCCUUGAGCAAGAGAUCUUCCAUGGGUUCCUCCACCUUCCUCGGUCCCUCAGCAAAUCUCCCUUAUCACUGGAGCAGAACAAGGAGACUCUUGGCAGUAGAGGGCCUUGGACAGAUGCCCAGCCAUGCCAGUCCUCUCUGUCUUUUUGCUGUGUGCCCAAAACAUUUUCAGAUUACACAAAUUUAAUCAAAAGGCAUUUGAUUAAUAGUCUAUGGAAAAAUGAAACCUAUAUUUCAUUUCCACUUUUCUAGGGAGACUUCCAAAAGUUUAAAAUUCUUAAUACAGACAUCUAUAUCAAUUGUGAAAGAAAACUUGAGAUAUAUUGGACCUAGCAUUGAUUAGUUGUCGCAGCCUAGCCCUAAUACAUUUUUGAAUCGGUUUUGCAAAGUUGAGUUCAGCCUCACUAUCAACAGAUCACAUUAGUCUUUAAUCCUCCUGGGAUAAUAUGCAGGAUGAUAAGAGGUCUGUUCCACACAUUUCACUUUCCUACAUACAGAUAUAGCAUCCUUUUAGGAAAUUGCAUCAUAAUGUGCAGUGCCUGUUGCUAUUUUAUGCAUAGACAUACUCUGAAGGCAAAUUACAGUGUGUGACUCUUGAGUCACACUGGAAUUAAAUUAGCUUUAUUCUCGAGAGAAAGAAAGGUCGUAGUCACACUGCCUGACAUUGCUUUACUGCUAUGACCUUUACUGACCUUUGUCCAAACAUGCGGUAUACAUGUAGUUGGGCUGAAUGUUGGCAUGAAGCAUGCCAAAUGUUUUUGACCCUAAGGAGCAAAAUGAAGGCUUCUCCUCUGACAUAACUUGGGAGUCUCGUUCCACCCCUUCUUGUUUCUCUUUCUGUAAGCAGGCAUUGUUACAGGAUUGUAGGAACAAUGCUUUUUGGUAGCAGCUGGCUUUCUGGCACCUUUUUUUUUAUUAAAAAAAAUACCUCAGCAUAGCUUUAGUAUCAUUUGCAGAAUGGAAAAUCGGGAGAGAGAAACUUUAUAAAUAAUGGAAGUAAUUCUAGCUGUAGAGUUUAGUUUUGAAGACCCUGACUUAUGCUGUAUGUAUUUGCAGUUCUGUAUUUAGGCUACAACUUUAUAGGGUAUGGGGUGGGGGCGGGAAGGAAAGAGAGUUAGCUGUGCUAGAAGGCAAAUGUUGCUUGCAACGUCUUUUUCUACUUUGUCAUUGGCUAUCGUUGUCAACACGCUACAUAACAGCAGACAUAACUGAGCUGCUGUAUUGCUUCCAGGGUCCUUCUAGGUGUGCAUGACCUCUGCCUCCCUGCUUUCUUUCUAUUGGCAAACCAAGGGCCUUGGUGGGGAUGUAAAUACUGAGCAAGUUUGUGUGCUUGGAGGAGGGCAUACAAGGAGAUGAAUUAGCAACCCAUUUUAGUCCACGUAGUUGCACUAGGGCUGCAGCUGGGCCAAGACUUUUACAUUUGGAAAAGGAGGAGGAUAUUUGGGAGAACAAAGUGAAACAGUUCUUUUUAUCCCUGCUUGUCUUGUUCUUGAAUGUAGUAUGUGAUAAUUAAUUUAAUUUUAUAAUAGCAAUGCUAAUUCUGUCUAGACCAAAAAUAGCGGAAGAGAAACCAAACUAAAUGCUAACCUGCUCCUAGUACCUAAGUAUAGAGUACCUGAAAGAGAUAAGAUUCUAUGAGGCAGACUUCAGGAGAAAAGAGGAUAUAUUGGAUGUGGGUUUCUUUUUAUGGAAGGUUGAGUCAUUUUUCUCUCACAGCACAUGGUUCAGAUUUUGGAUGGCAUUCUUGGGAGACUUCAUCUGCUUCCAUCCUGACUCUGAAGCAUCUCCUUUCUCUGAUUGCAGAAAAAUACAGAGUGUGUGUUUGUGUGGGGAAGUAUAUUUCCGGGGGUGGGAGAGGAAAACCUGAGCUUCAGCUGGAGGGGGAGAAUUUCCAAUGUUUUGAUAGGAACCAAAGGUAUACUGCUUAGUUUUUGGCAGCUCUGCUGUUUUCAGGAUGUCUUCGGCAAAAAAUUGUGUGGUCUUAGAGGUUUGGUUUGAUGACUCUUGACUUGGAGGAUCUCCUCAUGUGUUGGUUUUCCUACCUUCUUAAUGCACAGGGUUGGUUUGGAUACUUUUUCUGAGGACAUACUGGAGGCAAGUUCUAUUCAGUACAACACCCAAGAUCACAAGCAACUGUUGGAUGUAGGGAAAACUUGGUUUUGUUCUUAAAGUAUCAAAACUGCAUUGUCCUCUUAAAUAUCAAAACUGCAUUGUCCUCUGUUUCACAUCAUUUCAGAAGUCCUGUGGGUUUUCAUAGUGGAAAACCUUGGAGACGUCUUUCUUUCUUCCCCGGAAUAGCUUUGGGCAUUGUCACAUUACAUGCUGUUGGCUUGAUGAAUUGCAUCAGUCAAGCCUGACGUGUUCAUGUGUGAAGCAAGGGAGAAGGUAAAUAUAUAUUAGUUGUCCAGCUAUUCUUCCUCUGGAAAUCAGCUGGGUUGCAGAACUUCCCUGGAAAGCUUUACUAAUAGACUUACUGUUCUGACAUUAUGUAAAGUGGUAUUAAUAUUGUGUGACUUUUCUAAGAGCUAGGUAGAUUUAUAAGUAGGUAAUAGGGAAAUGGAAAAUGACUUCUCAAAGAUAAGAGCACUUGGAACAAAAGAUGUGGAAAACAAGGUGUGCUUUAAAAGAAAACAAAUCUGAGGAAGGAAAUGAAACAACCAGUUGGGAGAUGGGAUCAUGAGAGAAAGAUCCUUAGUACUAUGAGGAAGGUUGGAAUGUCUCCCCUCUUCUGCCUUAUUUCUCUUUACCUCACUCAGGCGAAAAUAUGGGUUUAAUAGUUUGUUGUCGGCUCUUUCCCCAAACAUUUCUAAAACUCUGAUCUUUGUUCUCACCAAAAAUUCUCUCUUUACUUUUUACAAUGUAGAACCCAUCAAAAUAAAAGCCUUCCUGAAGUAUUUCUAGCAGAAAUGUCUUUAACCCACCAGGGGGCUAUAAGUGUAAAUGGUGAAUGUUUCUGGCAAGAGUACUACAGGAAUAGUGGUAAAUAUUAAGGAGUACAGAUCUGUGUCAAAUUAAUAUUUGCACAAUUCAAGCCACCCACCCUGGCCAACAGCCUUUGGAACAAACACCUUUGGUCAGGGCUGGGGAGAAACUGUCACUUGUCCCAUCUAAUCCAUGUUAGCACAUUGGCAUUUUCGAUCCAGUUUCUGUAUUUGAAUUUGAGGAAGAAGCCACAGCAGAUACCCAUAAACUGAUUGGUAAGUUACUUCCAUUUAUUUGAACCUCCCUGGAGGAAGAUAUAGGCUUUUCUCUAAAAUCCAGGAGAUAAGAGGUCAGGUGCAAGUGCAUUUGAGAGCAUCACGGGACUCCGGCCGUUUUGCACUCCCCUGGUCCCACCGUGUCGCUGUUCCAUUUCCUUCUUCUGUGGUAGUGUCUAAGGCUAGGCGUGAGUAAGUGUCGGGUGUUUAUCCGCCACAGGUACGGGAGCUGUCGUAUACCUCAUUUCUAACUCAUAACUGAGUAACUUGCUUUAACUUUCUCCAAACCCUACAGAGUUGCCAAGACUGCCCUCCCUCCCUUGAUUAACGUGGAACUCUGGCUUAUAGCAUCCUGUGACCUGCAACCUGGGGGGUGACCCCCUAAAGCCUCUGAAUGUCGCUGCUUAAAAGCUACUGCAAACUGAGGGCAAAUUGCAAUCUUCUAUUUCUUUUGGUUACCAGGGGUCCUCUCGUAGUCUGUGAAUAUCCAUCUCCACUCCCAAUCCGUGCAUGAAACCUCCAUGCUGCCUUCUCCCUCCCCCUGGUGAGAUGUCAGGGCUAUAAUGUACUGCAGGGUCAAGGCAGGACCCUGACGGCUCCUCUCAGCCAAGUGCUGCAUGCAUAUUGCUCGCUACUUUUUCAUUUUGUUUCUCUCAUGCUCCUCCCAUAUUUAAUUUCCUUCUUUUAUUAUUUGACAAUCUUGUUCCUCCCCGUCCCCGCCUCUAGGCUAACCAGAAGCUGCAUCCCUGUCCCUUCUGCCAUUUUACUUUGAAUGUAGUUUUCCCACCCUUUGGAAAGAGAAGCUUUUCCAGGUCACGGUGCACUGCUAUAUGCCGAGGGGGGCGGUUUCUUUGUUUUGUUUUGUUCUUUUAGAAAUUUCCAGCCAAAACCAAAGAUUUCCUAAUGAUUGUAUAAACUCAAAACAGACAAACAAACAAACCAAAGACAAAAGGGGCGUCUUCAGCACCAAUCAUAUCUCUUAAGAUGGCGCGGUCCCAUCCUGUGCUAACUUGCUUGGGAGACCAAGUUCUGUUUGACCUCCACAAAUCCAAAGGCGCACAGCCAUUGGGAGGGAGAGUUCAGUGGGGAAAAGUGAUGGACUCCACAGAUUGGUUGUGAAGCUGAAGACAUUGGUGCAUGACUGGCGGCUCUGGUGGGUGCUUUUAACCCUUUGGGAGCUGGGUGAUAUUAAUACACGCUGAGGUGCACUUCUGAGCUCUCUCCCCCCCCUCCCCCCCCGCCACUGCUUGGAAGAGGCUGUUCUGUUGUGCAAAAUCUCUGAAAAAAAUGUUUUGUUUUUCUUUCUCUCCCCCCCCACUUCUUUUUUGUUCUUUAAUUAUUUUUGCAGCACCACUGUGCAACUAUGCAUUGUAUUUCUCAACCUUUUGUGCUAGGUAGGUAGAUGCCUAUGACUUUUUAAACUUUGGGGGAGGGGGGGUUGCCAAUGAAGGAACUUUUUACAUGGAUCUUUUAAAUCUCAGUUGAUUAGGGGGUGUUUGGUUCUAGGGUCAUACAAGCUCUAUCCCAAAGCAAAAUCCAAAUGUUAAUAAUAUUAGCCUGAUGCAGAUACCAAAGAUAAUUUCUUUCCUGCAGAACCUUAGACUUGUGUAUUAAGUACAAUUACCCAGCACUUGCAUUAGUCUAACCUCAGUAAUUCCAAAGCUUAGAUGUAUAUUUUGGUAUAUUUCUGGGAUAUUAAAAAUGUCGUUUAAAUUCUUGUUUGUUUCAGUGUAAUGCUCUUAAAGUCAUAGCAUGGAGAUAACUGAAUUGUCUUAUUCUUAGUAGUUUGAAAUAAUAGUAUUUUUGUAUGUUUUGGGUGUGUCAAUGUAUGUAUUAACACAACAGUUUUCACUGCCUAGGUGUUCAUAAUUGAGAAAAAGUGUACAUAAUCUGUGAUUUCCACCAGAUUGUCGAUUUAGAUUGCAUUUUCUCUGAUUGCCAUUCCCAACAGGGAGAUCUUUAUUCCUUUUUUUUUUUUAAAGAGACAGCAUGCUUAUAACAGUGAGAUUGUACUUUUGCCCUCCCAUAAAGGUCCAGUUCCCUGAAAACAUCGUCCUUUAAUUUUGAAAGGUGAGGCAAGACUCAAAGUGUAGCAAUUGAAUAACUAAAAGCACGGAUAUUACUAUGCUAGGAAUUUAUGCUUUUUGUUUUUAUAGUGGGGGGGAGGCAUCUUGCCAAGAAAGCUAUGGUUUGUGGAAAUUGAUUUAUAAAAUCCUGAGCUCUUCCUAUGGCAAAAAAGAGAGAUUUGUGUUGAUUACAGAGCUUCCCUGUCGUCAACCAUCAAGUUGGCUUAUUUCUUCCUCAGGCCUGCUAAUGUGGUCAAUUGUACAGCUUAAUUUACAUGAACACUUUGUAUCUAACUGUGAUAAAUAUAUUAAGAUACAAUGCAUUCUUGCCUAACUUUAAAUUUGAGAAUUGUAAGGCCCUAAUUUGAAACUGUGUGUGUCUCCAAAAUGGAGAUGAAAAGGAUGCUGUCUCUUUAAAUAUACCUUCUAUUUUUUCCCUAGUGGCUGCCUGCAGGUGGCUGUGGGCAUUGAGAGAGACUGUGUAGAUUAUAGUGAAUCAGGAUGAAAAUGGUAGAUUUUGUGUAGAUGCAUUUGUCUGCUGUAAUUUUUAUAUAUAUAAAACUUAACUGUAACUGUACAGUUCAUUUCUGUUGUAAACAUCAUUAAACCAUUUUUCCAAGUGUUUUAACAUGCA